rnacentral:rRNA from 1 species
AGGUCAAGCGAACAAGGGCGCAGGGCGAAUGCCUUGGCACUGGGAGCCGAUGAAAGACGUGAUAAGCUGCGAUAAGCUUCGGGGAGCUGCAAAUAAGCAUUGAUCCGGAGAUUUCUGAAUGAGGAAACUCACCUGGGUUCAUACUCAGGUACGUUAUACUGAACUUAAAAAUAGGUAUAUCGAGGGAACCGCCUGAACUGAAACAUCUAAGUAGGGCGAGGAAGAGACAUCAAACGAGAUUCCGUAAGUAGUGGCGAGCGAACGCGGAAGAGGGCAAACCGGAAGUAGAAAUACUUCCGGGGUACGGACCGCAUUUAGGACUUGAGUUGUUAACCGAACGGCAUGGGAAGGCCGGUCAGAGAGUGUGAGAACCACGUAGGU